rnacentral:rRNA from 1 species
UACGUAGGGGGCAAGCGUUGUCCGGAUUUAUUGGGCGUAAAGCGCGCGCAGGCGGUCUACCAAGUUCGGAGCGACAGUUUCCGGCUUAACCGGAAAAGGUCUUCGAAAACUGGUGGACUUGAGGACUUGAGGGGGAGACGGAAUUCCGGGUGGAGCGGUGAAAUGCGUAGAGAUCCGGAGGAACACCAGUGGCGAAGGCGACACGCUGGGCCGUACCUGACGCUAAAGCGCGACAGCAUGGGGAGCAAACGGG